GGGUAUAAUUUUUCGAUCGCAUCUCGACCGUCCUCAUAUCCGACACAAUAAGAAGCAUAUCCGACUUCGAGAAUUUCUUCCUUAAACUCUUCAGAAUUUUUGAAGUUCUCGACGAUUUGAUCCAAGGCUUCCCUCGCCGACUCUGCUUCAGCUCGCGCGGAGGCCGACUCAGCAUCAACCAAUGCCAACCUUUCCAAGGUGGCCCGAUG
rnacentral:lncRNA from 1 species